GCGGUACUCUGACCGUGCAAAGGUAGCAUAAUCAUUUGCCUUAUAAUUGAAGGCUAGUAUGAAUGGUUUGACAAGAGUGUAACUGUCUCUUUACAAUUGGUUAGAAUUUUAUUUCCAGGUGAAGAAGCCUACAUAUAAUUGAAAGACAAGAAGACCCUAUCGAGCUUAAAAAAAACUGAUAAAUUUAAUUUUUAGUAAUAUACUAAUUUUACUUAUUAUAGAUUUUAGUUGGGGCGACUGAGGAACAAAUAAAGCUUCCUUUAUUAUGUAAACUGACUCACAAGUACUUGAUCCAAAAUUUUUGAUUAAAGAAAUUAGUUACCGUAGGGAUAACAGCAUUAUUCUCUUUGAGAGUUCUUAUCGAAAAGAGGGUUUGUGACCUCGAUGUUGGACCAGAAUGUCCUAAAGAUGCAGCCGUCUUUAAGGGUUGGUCUGUUCGACCAUUAAAAUUCU
rnacentral:rRNA from 1 species